GAUGAACGCUGGCGGCGUGCCUAAUACAUGCAAGUCGAGCGAACAGAUGAGGAGCUUGCUCCUCUGACGUUAGCGGCGGACGGGUGAGUAACACGUGGAUAACCUACCUAUAAGACUGGGAUAACUUCGGGAAACCGGAGCUAAUACCGGAUAAUAUAUUGAACCGCAUGGUUCAAUAGUGAAAGACGGUUUUGCUGUCACUUAUAGAUGGAUCCGCGCCGCAUUAGCUAGUUGGUAAGGUAACGGCUUACCAAGGCAACGAUGCGUAGCCGACCUGAGAGGGUGAUCGGCCACACUGGAACUGAGACACGGUCCAGACUCCUACGGGAGGCAGCAGUAGGGACUCUUCCGCAAUGGGCGAAAGCCUGACGGAGCAACGCCGCGUGAGUGAUGAAGGUCUUCGGAUCGUAAACCUCUGUUAUUAGGGAAGAACAAAUGUGUAAGUAACUAUGCACGUCUUGACGGUACCUAAUCAGAAAGCCACGGCUAACUACGUG
rnacentral:rRNA from 1 species